rnacentral:lncRNA from 1 species
GACUGAUAGUGUUUUUAUGGCAUAAUGUUUUGACGGAUCGGGUAUAAAAGCUUCAGGUAACCCGUCCUAAACCCUAACCCUAAAUAAUUGGAUGCAGUCGUACCCUCCUUCACCUGCUAGCCUCAGCCACCAUUGGAACACCUCUAGCACUAUGUCACCAGAAGUCAUGCGUAGCUGGAGAAGGACCACCGUGAGCAGUCAAAAGCAGCCACCACCACCAUUGGAAUNNNNNNNNNNNNNNNNNNNNNNNNNNNNNNNNNNNNNNNNNNNNNNCUACUGUGCUGCCAUGUCGUUGCUGUGCUGCCGACAAAGCUGUGAAUCGCAAGACCAACGACCUAUUGCUCCCGUGGAUCGGUCGAACUUCCGUGACCUCCUCCGUCUUUUUCUGCCGCCGCUGCCGGAUGUUGUGGGCAGCGAAGGGCUACAUGUGGGACGUCAGAGACUGUAGGACGAGAGGUUAAACCAGAGCUUUGGUUGUAUGAAUGGCAGGUCGAGUCUGCUGCUGNGACUUUGAUGAUAGAUCUAAAGAAAACAUUCAUAUAAUAACACAUGAAAUCAGAUCUGAAAGAUUACCUUGAACUGCUUGCUUGAAUCUUCUUGUCCUUGGAGCUUAGAGUCACAAAUGUCACUCCUCUAAUGACUUACAAACACCAACUUAGCAAUAGGAUGAUUAGAUUGAGAGAGGGGAGGUCAAGAAAUUGGCCAGGGUUUCUUCUAUUGCAAGAGUGCCAAUUUCCUUGACCCCAUGGGUCUAUUUAUACUAGUGAGCCUCCUAGGGUUUCACCCUUAAACCCUAAUUGGAUAACUUAGGCCCUAAGCAAUCCAAUCUCCUUAUUGAUAAGCCUUGGACGAUUUCUAGGUCUUUCCAAACCCUAAAACCGUCCACCCCUUAUCCAUUAAGGAUCACUGCUCAAAAUACAACUAUCAUACAAUUGACAGUUUAUGCCCCUUUAUUCAAUUAAUCUCUUUAAGUCACCAAAUUAAUUCCUAAUUAAUUUAUGACUUAUAUUAAUCAAAUAACAAUAUUAUUAUUCCUUAUAUUAUUCUCAUAAUAUAUUAAUAAUAUUUCCUCUCUCAUUAUAAAUCAUCCUGUCACGUUGCUAUGGUGAAGGCAAUCCAAAAGGACCAUGCACAAUCGGGUCAAAUACUUGCCAAAUAUAGUUGCAGCCUUAGACACUAUUCCAACAAGUUGGUGUGUUUAUCGCUAAAAAAAUAUCAAAAUUGGGGAAACGGUUUGGUUUUAUUAGGUUUUCAGGCGAUGGUAAUUGUGUCUCUCUAAUAAAACAGCUUCGUGAAGUUUGGCUUGGAUCAUAUACCCAGUUUGCCUCCCCCCUCGUUCCCUAGGUAAUAAUAAUCAUACCCCCCAAUGUAACAUCCCGUUUAAAGUAGAAUAAUUAAAUAAUAAAUAUGGAACCCUGAGAUAUAAUUUUAAUUAUUAUUAUAGCCUAGAAUCAAAUAAUAAUUAUCAGGAUGUUAGCUUCGAGGGUUAAAGUGCAAUUAUGGACCUCAUUUGAAAGUAAUUGUAGAGGGAGGGUUUAGAUUGUAAAUUAUGGGUUUGAUUUGAAAAGAAUUUAUCAUGGAGGGACCAUUUAGUAAUGUUCGGAUCUCAUUUGAAAGAAAAAGGGGAAGGAGGGACUGAUAGUGUUUUUAUGGCAUAAUGUUUUGACGGAUCGGGUAUAAAAGCUUCAGGUAACCCGUCCUAAACCCUAACCCUAAAUAAUUGGAUGCAGUCGUACCCUCCUUCACCUGGUAGCCUCAGCCGCCAUUGGAACACCUCUAGCACUACGUCGCCGGACGUCAUGCGUAGCCGGAGAAGGACCACCGUGAGUAGUCAAAAGCAGCCACCACCACCAUUGGAAUCCUCAAUAGCCGCUUCCCAUCCGAGUUGCCCGCUACUGUGCUGCCAUGUCGUUGCUGUGCUGCCGACAAAGCUGUGAAUCGCAAGACCAACGACCUAUUGCUCCCGUGGAUCGGUCGAACUUCCGUGACCUCCUCCGUCUUUUUCUGCCGCCGCUGCCGGAUGUUGUGGGCAGCGAAGGGCUACAUGUGGGACGUCAGAGACUGUAGGACGAGAGGUUAAACCAGAGCUUUGGUUGUAUGAAUGGCAGGUCGAGUCUGCUGCUGUUGGGUGUCGUUGCAACCGUCUGCCGCCGUCGUACGCCAUAUCGCUGUUGCUGCCAUUUUCCUGCCACCAUUUACCACCGUUGGCCACCUCCAGUUCGUUGAUGGAUGGGUUUGCGCGAUCAGUUCAUGUGUUCGUGUGUUAUGGUGUUGCUGCUCGAGGGUGGUCGUGCCUUUUGGCCAGAAACCAUGGAAAACCCACCAUGGCUGCCAACCAUGGUGGUUAUCGCCACUUUUUUGUUCCGCCACCACCAACCGCCGCAUGGUGGUGGCUAUGUGCAUGUCUCUAGGUGUGUGUGUAUGUGUUUAUGUUGUGUGUGAGUGUGUGCUAUCGGGAUUGGGUUGUAAUUUGUAAUCGGUGACGGAAUAAUACUAAAAA